rnacentral:rRNA from 1 species
UGGGGAAUAUUGGACAAUGGGCGAAAGCCUGAUCCAGCCAUGCCGCGUGUGUGAAGAAGGUCUUCGGAUUGUAAAGCACUUUAAGUUGGGAGGAAGGGCAGUAAGCGAAUACCUUGCUGUUUUGACGUUACCGACAGAAUAAGCACCGGCUAACUCUGUGCCAGCAGCCGCGGUAAUACAGAGGGUGCAAGCGUUAAUCGGAAUUACUGGGCGUAAAGCGCGCGUAGGUGGUUCGUUAAGUUGAAUGUGAAAGCCCCGGGCUCAACCCGGGAACUGCAUCCAAAACUGGCGAGCUAGAGUAGGGCAGAGGGUGGUGGAAUUUCCUGUGUAGCGGUGAAAUGCGUAGAUAUAGGAAGGAACACCAGUGGCGAAGGCGACCACCUGGGCUCAUACUGACACUGAGGGGCGAAAGCGUGGGGAGCAAACAGG